rnacentral:lncRNA from 1 species
AGUUUGAUUUUAACAAAAAUUGAAUUCUUGGGGUUCUUUGAUAUGCUGAAUCUAAACAUGUACUUAGUUUUUUUUAUUAUGGGCCCAGUUUUCAAGUUGGUCCAAAUCGGGAUCCAAAAUUGAACUUUAUUUGAUUUCAUCAAAAAAUGAAUUCUUGGGGUUCUUUGAUAUGAUUAAUCUAACCAUGUAUUUAGAUUUUGGAUAUUGGAAUACCACAAAGCGUUGGUAAGAAUUGUCUUUGGGAGUUAUGACUCAACCCGUUAAAGAAUAAGGUGCAAAAAAGGGGGGAAAAGGGUUUCCAGGUUAAUGGACAAUUACUUAAGUACAAA